rnacentral:rRNA from 1 species
AGUCAACAUGCCCAGAGGACGUGGAUAACCUCGGGAAACUGAGGAUAAACCGCGAUAGGCCAUGAUUUCUGGAAUGGUUUAUGGCUGAAAUCUAUAUGGCCUCUGGAUUGGACUGCGGCCGAUCAGGCUGUUGGUGAGGUAAUGGCCCACCAAACCUGUAACCGGUACGGGCUCUGAGAGGAGGAGCCCGGAGAUGGGCACUGAGACAAGGGCCCAGGCCCUAUGGGGCGCAGCAGGCGCGAAAUCUCUGCAAUAGGCGAAAGCUUGACAGGGUUACUCUGAGUGAUUCCCGCUAAGGGGAUCUUUUGGCACCUCUAAAAAUGGUGCAGAAUAAGGGGUGGGCAAGUCUGGUGUCAGCCGCCGCGGUAAUACCAGCACCCCGAGUGGUCGGGACGAUUAUUGGGCCUAAAGCAUCCGUAGCCGGUACUGCAAGUCUUCCGUUAAAUCCACCUGCUCAACAGUUGGGCUGCGGAGGAUACUACAGCGCUAGGAGGCGGGAGAGGCAAGCGGUACUCAGUGGGUAGGGGUAAAAUCCAUUGAUCCAUUGAAGACCACCAGUGGCGAAGGCGGCUUGCCAGAACGCGCUCGACGGUGAGGGAUGAAAGCUGGGGGAGCAAACCGGAUUAGAUACCCGGGUAGUCCCAGCUGUAAACGAUGCAGACUCGGUGAUGGGCUGGCCUUGUGCCAACCCAGUGCCGCAGGGAAGCCGUUAAGUCUGCCGCCUGGGGAGUGCGGUCGCAAGACUGAAACUUAA